GUGUGGUUUUCUGGAGAGUCCACACUGUAGACUGGAGACUCUGGGAUGGAAGAGGUGAUCUCUAACCACCAUCAUCCCUGUGUGUUCCUCUGGACCUGACAGAGUAUCAUCAGUGUAUCUGUCCUUCUGCACAGUCUCUGCAGACACACUGAGACUCCUCCACUCCUUCUGCUCCACACUCCACCACCUCCUCCACCUGGACCUGGGUUUCACUUUGUCUUUACUCAUUCAUAUAUUCUGAACCCAAAGUGUCUCUGCAGAUUAGUUCUGUUUAUGACAACAUAACUGUUUAUUAAGUAAUUAUGAGAUCCCUCGUCCUCAAAAUGUAAUCCCUGGACCGUGGAGCGAUCAGCCUCCAGCCCCAACAGGAACCUCUAGACGACCUCGAGACCGUCGGGAAAGGGCCAGAGGAGGUUUUCGAUCCUUCACUCGGCCUUAUCCACGUCAGGCAUCUGGAGCUAGGCCGUUUCAACACAGAUCAAUAACACAUGGACUCUUGUGACACAGAGUAUGUAACCCCUAAUCAAUAUGACUUGAUUUGAUGUUAGCUGAAAAGUGUUAAAAUGUGCUCCCUAUUAGAGUAAGGAUGAUACAUGAUCAUUUCUGUAGUAUAAUGUGCAUAUAACCAAAAUCAGGUCUCAGGAAUGUGAAACAACAAGAGUGAUUUAUGGUCGACAUAUAGAUGACCUUGUGAAUGUGAAAUAGCGAACGAUCACCGGAAGUAUAAUAGCUUGUAUGUAAUUCCUCUAACUUGAUAUUGAUGCAGGUGUAGUUACCGACCGUGGCCACUAGGGGGCGCUAAGAUCCUUCUCUGUGUGGUGUUACAUAGAUCUCAUGUUACUGAGGCUGAAGCUAGUUAACUUCACUUUACAUUUAAAUAUUACUGAUAUUACAGCAAGAACAUAAUCAGAUAUAUUGUUAGAAGGAGGCUGUAGUAGAAGAAGGAAGUUUAACCUCAUUACAAUGAGCUCAGACUAAAUCCGAUCGUAAUACUGUCAGCGAAGCAUUCAAACUGAAAUAAAACUAAAUCACGUCUUUUAACAAAUAUAUUUUGAAGGGUGUAACCGGACGUUUUGCUGAUAUGCAAUCCUUUUCUU